UACGUAGGGUGCAAGCGUUGUCCGGAAUCAUUGGGCGUAAAGCGCGCGUAGGCGGCUUUGCAAGUCGGGUGUGAAAUCCCCAGGCUUAACCUGGGAACUGCAUUCGAGACUGCAUUGCUAGAGUAUGGGAGAGGGAAGUGGAAUUUCCGGUGUAGCGGUGAAAUGCGUAGAUAUCGGAAGGAACAUCAGUGGCGAAAGCGACUUCCUGGACCAAUACUGACGCUCAUGUGCGAAAGCGUGGGGAGCAAACAGG
rnacentral:rRNA from 1 species